rnacentral:rRNA from 1 species
UACGAAGGGGGCUAGCGUUGCUCGGAAUCACUGGGCGUAAAGGGUGCGUAGGCGGGUCUUUUAAGUCAGGGGUGAAAUCCCGAGGCUCAACCUCGGAACUGCCUUUGAUACUGGGGAUCUCGAGUUCGGGAGAGGUGAGUGGAAUUGCGAGUGUAGAGGUGAAAUUCGUAGAUAUUCGCAAGAACACCAGUGGCGAAGGCGGCUCACUGGCCCGAUACUGACGCUGAGGUGCGAAAGCGUGGGGGAGCAAACAGG